rnacentral:rRNA from 1 species
GAUGUACGCUGGCGGCGUGCCUAAUACAUGCAAGUCGAGCGAACAGACGAGGAGCUUGCUCCUCUGACGUUAGCGGCGGACGGGUGAGUAACACGUGGAUAACCUACCUAUAAGACUGGGAUAACUUCGGGAAACCGGAGCUAAUACCGGAUAAUAUAUUGAACCGCAUGGUUCAAUAGUAAAAGACGGUUUUGCUGUCACUUAUAGAUGGAUCCGCGCCGCAUUAGCUAGUUGGUAAGGUAACGGCUUACCAAGGCAACGAUGCGUAGCCGACCUGAGAGGGUGAUCGGCCACACUGGAACUGAGACACGGUCCAGACUCCUACGGGAGGCAGCAGUAGGGAAUCUUCCGCAAUGGGCGAAAGCCUGACGGAGCAACGCCGCGUGAGUGAUGAAGGUCUUCGGAUCGUAAAACUCUGUUAUUAGGGAACAACAAAUGUGUAAGUAACUAUGCACGUCUUGACGGUACCUAAUCAGAAAGCCACGGCUAACUACGUG